rnacentral:rRNA from 1 species
UACGGAGGGGCUAGCGUUGUUCGGAAUUACUGGGCGUAAAGCGCACGUAGGCGGCUUUGUAAGUUAGAGGUGAAAUCCUGGAGCUCAACUCCAGAACUGCCUUUGAUACUGGAGAGCUCGAGUCCGGAAGAGGUGAGUGGAACUCCGAGUGUAGAGGUGAAAUUCGUAGAUAUUCGCAAGAACACCAGUGGCGAAGGCGGCUCACUGGCCCGGUACUGACGCUGAGGUGCGAAAAGCGUGGGGAGCAAACAGG